rnacentral:lncRNA from 1 species
CCCCAUCUCUGCCUCAGAGGGUGGGUCCCCUUGACUUUGACAACUUGAUCCCCUGGAAAUGUCCUACUUCCUGCUCCUCCCCAGGCCCUGCCUAGUGGGACCACGUCAUUCUCUAUUCUCAUGGACCUCUAUACCCCUCCUCUCUGAGUUCAGGUAUUCUGGUACCUGCCCACAGCAGGGAGAACAACAGACCACAUGUCCAGUCCUUGCCCAGCCCAGAUUAUGCUAUAAAGACGUUUUUUGAAAGAGAAAGAAAGAGGUGACAUUCUGUGGAGGGAUCCUAAGGGACCAGGCCUAAUCACAUCGGGGACUCGAGGCCUCCCUUCCAGGCUUGGCAGGCAGAGUAUCUCAAGAUGAAGAGAAAGACAUUUUCCCUUGCAUGCUGGCCGCUGUUUCAUCUUCUACUACUCUUAGGAAACGCUGUAACUUCUAAUGCUAACACUACAGCCACCACCCUUGGACAAACCACAUCACCCAGGGGAACUAACACAACAGCUAUAACCUCCAGUGGGAACAUCACGACCACCUCCCUCGGACCAACCACACCGUCCAGGGAAACUAACACAACGGCUAUAACCUCCAGUGACACCAGCACAAGUACUGCCCCUCCAAGGAAAGAGGAGAACCUUAGCGGACAACUGACACCAUGGGAAGUUGUUCUGGUCACUCUGGCCUCGGUUGCAAUGGCUGUGAUUCUCGUCACCGGGCUUCUCUUCCAUUUCAGAAACUCUCCAGGCCUCAGAAACCUCUUCGAUGUUAAUCUCUUACCAACUGCAUGGCCAAGCCCCUACGGGACCAGGGCAACUGCAACUGACUUCAGAGGAGACCCUUCUCCCGUAGUCAUGGAGCUGACUGGGAGGCGGGAAUAGCACUGAGCUCCCUGAAGGCAGACGCAUCACCAAUGUGUGGGGGUGGGGG